rnacentral:rRNA from 1 species
AUUGAACGCUGGCGGCAGGCCUAACACAUGCAAGUCGAGCGGAUGAAGGGAGCUUGCUCCUGGAUUCAGCGGCGGACGGGUGAGUAAUGCCUAGGAAUCUGCCUGGUAGUGGGGGAUAACGUCCGGAAACGGGCGCUAAUACCGCAUACGUCCUGAGGGAGAAAGUGGGGGAUCUUCGGACCUCACGCUAUCAGAUGAGCCUAGGUCGGAUUAGCUAGUUGGUGGGGUAAAGGCCUACCAAGGCGACGAUCCGUAACUGGUCUGAGAGGAUGAUCAGUCACACUGGAACUGAGACACGGUCCAGACUCCUACGGGAGGCAGCAGUGGGGAAUAUUGGACAAUGGGCGAAAGCCUGAUCCAGCCAUGCCGCGUGUGUGAAGAGGGUCUUCGGAUUGUAAAGCACUUUAAGUUGGGAGGAAGGGCGGUAAGUUAAUACCUUGCUGUUUUGACGUUACCAACAGAAUAAGCACCGGCUAACUUCGUG